AUACAGGUGAUAUACAGGUGAUAUACAGGUGGUAUACAGGUGAUAUACAGGUGAUAUACAGGUGAUAUACAGGUGAUAUACAGGUGAUAUACAGGUGGUAUACAGGUGGUAUACAGGUGGUAUACAGGUGAUAUACAGGUGAUAUACAGGUGGUAUACAGGUGAUAUACAGGUGAUAUACAGGUGAUAUACAGGUGGUAUACAGGUGAUAUACAGGUGGUAUACAGGUGAUAUACAGGUG